AGACCCGAAACCCGGUGAUCUAGCCAUGGGCAGGUUGAAGGUUGGGUAACACUAACUGGAGGACCGAACCGACUAAUGUUGAAAAAUUAGCGGAUGACCUGUGGCUGGGGGUGAAAGGCCAAUCAAACCGGGAGAUAGCUGGUUCUCCCCGAAAGCUAUUUAGGUAGCGCCUCGUGAAUUCAUCUCCGGGGGUAGAGCACUGUUUCGGCUAGGGGGCCAUCCCGGCUUACCAACCCGAUGCAAACUGCGAAUACCGGAGAAUGUUAUCACGGGAGACACACGGCGGGUGCUAACGUCCGUCGUGAAGAGGGAAACAACCCAGACCGCCAGCUAAGGUCCCAAAGUCAUGGUUAAGUGGGAAACGAUGUGGGAAGGCCCAGACAGCCAGGAUGUUGGCUUAGAAGCAGCCAUCAUUUAAAGAAAGCGUAAUAGCUCACUGGUCGAGUCGGCCUGCGCGGAAGAUGUAACGGGGCUAAACCAUGCACCGAAGCUGCGGCAGCGAACGUAUCACCCAAGACAACUUUACGGAGUUGACGAUUGACGGAGCGAAGCGACGUCAAAGCGUUCAUUAAAGUCGAGUUGGCUUAGGGAUACGUUCGUUGGGUAGGGGAGCGUUCUGUAAGCCUGUGAAGGUGUGUCGUGAGGCAUGCUGGAGGUAUCAGAAGUGCGAAUGCUGACAUAAGUAACGAUAAAGCGGGUGAAAAGCCCGCUCGCCGGAAGACCAAGGGUUCCUGUCCAACGUUAAUCGGGGCAGGGUGAGUCGACCCCUAAGGCGAGGCCGAAAGGCGUAGUCGAUGGGAAACGGGUUAAUAUUCCCGUACUUGGUGUUACUGCGAAGGGGGGACGGAGAA
rnacentral:rRNA from 1 species